rnacentral:tRNA from 1 species
ACUUUAUUAGUAUAAACAGUAUAUUUAAUUUCCAAUUAAGAGGCUCAAUUUGAAUAAAACC